AGUGAACGCUGGCGGUAGGCCUAACACAUGCAAGUCGAACGGCAGCACAGUAAGAGCUUGCUCUUACGGGUGGCGAGUGGCGGAAGGGUGCGGAAUACAUCGGAAUCUACUUUUUCGUGGGGGCUAACGUAGGGAAACUUACGCUAAUACCGCAUACGACCUACGGGUGAAAGCAGGGGAUCUUCGGACCUUGCGCGAUUGAAUGAGCCGAUGUCGGCUUAGCUCGUUGGCGGGGUAAAGGCCCACCAAGGCGACGAUCCGUAGCUGGUCUGAGAGGAUGAUCAGCCACACGGGAACUGAGACACGGUCCAGACUCCUACGGGAGGCAGCAGUGGGGAAUAUUGGACAAUGGGCGCAAGCCUGAUCCAGCCAUACCGCGUGGGGGAAGAAGGCCUUCGGGUUGUAAAGCCCUUUUGUUGGGAAAGAAAAGCAGCAGGUUAACACCCCGCGGUUCUGACGGUACCCAAAGAAUAAGCACCGGCUAACUUCGUG
rnacentral:rRNA from 1 species